GGCUCGGUCUUCUCCAGCUUUGAGAGCGGUGACUGUUUUUCUUUUAUCCAGUAGAUCAUGAUCCCUGAUUUUUUGAUGCACUUGGGCCUCUUCUUUAGUUACGCUUAUGAAUUUGGAGGGCAUGCCUGGCUAGUGAUUCUUCUGGGUGUUCCCUCUUUGAAGAACCAUCAUCUGUGCCUUAUCACAAACAGUUCUUAAGGAUGUGGAACUCCGGCCACUGGUCCAAAUGAACAUCUUAGAAGUCUGGUCUCCGC